CGGGUCUCAGGUGGUCAACCAGCUACAGCAUUGGUAGUCAGUAAUGUGUCCUCAGGAGUCCAGAGCUUGCACAGUAUGACCACUCCAGCAGUUGCCCAGUCACGCAUAGGACCAGCUGGAGGGAGCACAUCAAGUGGAUCAAGGGUUGUGGUUCCGUUGUCCAUUCAUCCACCACAACCACCUCAUCUUCAUCUUCUCAGCAGCUACGACACCCAGCACCACUACCUAAAACAC